rnacentral:rRNA from 1 species
CCUACGGGAGGCAGCAGUGAGGAAUAUUGGUCAAUGGGCGGGAGCCUGAACCAGCCAAGUCGCGUGAGGGAAGACGGUCCUACGGAUUGUAAACCUCUUUUGCCGGGGAGCAACGGGGUCCUUGCGUGGGCCCGAUGAGAGUACUCGGAGAAAAAGCAUCGGCUAACUCCGUGCCAGCAGCCGGGGUAAUACGGAGGAUGGGAGCGUUAUCCGGAUUUCUUGGGUUUAAAGGGUGCGUAGGCGGGCGGUUAAGUCAGCGGUAAAAUGUCGGGGCUCAACCCCGGCCUGCCGUUGAAACUGGCGGCCUAGAGGGGGCGAGAAGUAGGCGGAAUGCGUGGUGUAGCGGUGAAAUGCAUAGAUAUCACGAAGAACUCCGAUUGCGAAGGCAGCAUACCGGCGCCCGACUGACGCUGAGGCACGAAAGCGUGGGGAUCGAACAGGAUUAGAUACCCGAGUAGUC